rnacentral:lncRNA from 1 species
UUUCUUACUGAAAUAUAGUUAUUUUAAUUUCCAUUUUAAUAAUGACUUGUAGAAAAAUAUGAUGUUAGAACAUAAAGAAGCAACCAAGUACAUAUUUCAUAGAAAAAGGUCUGCCCCCUCCCAGCCACACUCCAAGUCACUAGUAAAUGGCAUGCUCCAGUCUGAGUCUGCACCUUGAGUACGUUUUGCCAUAAUCCCACUACAGUUUCAGAUAUAUCAAGCCUCCCUAACUCUUGCAGGAGCUGCCAUACUUCUUCACGGUUUCUGAGCUCCUGCAUCUUCCUGAUAAAGAGACUGGGUCCCGAGACUGGGGAGCGUUUCUCCACUGUGAAGGUGGUGUGUGGCGCUUUGUGAGCUGGCAUAUUGCUUCUUACUGAGAGGAUUCAUACUUAGUAAAACUUAAUUGAAUAACUGAAGAUCUGUCCUCCACUUGCUUGCUGCCUUGGCCCCAUGGAUCUUGCAUUCCUGAGAGCAGCGUAGCCCAGCUUCACCAGAAGAGCUGACUGGGUGUGAAACCGUGGAAGUAGGCAUUAUGGAUCUUGCCUCAGAUGCUGAAUCACAUCUUAGUCUAUUGAAGUGAGUGGAAUUACUUACAAAGUUGGGAGCUAAUCAGUGAGAUGAGUUUCAGAAUCUGAUUCAACAUAGUCUGAAGAAGUCUGAAGGAGAUAUAGUGGGAAAUAACGAAAACAAGCAUCUUACAGACCGUGACCUUUUUACACACACACGAAAAGCCGUAGUAUUUUUGAUGGAAAAAUUUCAGUUGGUUCCAGUUUGACUUAAAACAUUUUACUAGUGCUCACUGUUCAUAGAAAAUCUUUGGAUCUCAAUGACCCAUUUUUCAUAUGAAAUCACUGGAUGUUAACCUUUGUGUUGCCUGGUUUUGCAGCUAACUGUAAUGACUAUCAUUGACUCUUCUAGUGCAACUUCUCCAGACAUUUUAAAUGAGUAAAAGUAAAGUACAAGUUCAUUGCCAGUGCCAAUUACAUAAGGGACUAGGAGAUGGUCUACAACAUGUAAUGGCAUAGUUGUUUCCUGGGUAUACAUAUCCCACUUCCUGUUUUUGGAAAAUUAAUUGUCAUAAAUGGCAGAGUUGAGGAGAGAUCUUUACAGGAGAGUUAAACAAGUGACCACAUAAAAACACCUGAAGGAAAGAAAUUGCUUUUGGUUAACUGAAUGUGUGCAAUAGAGAGUGAAAAAAGUUGACCAGUGUUCUGGUACACUAGAAAGAGAACCAAGACAUUCUGGCUUUUUUUCCUUUCUGAUGCCACUGUAAACUCUCACUUCUUAUCAGCCCUCCCUAAAAUGGAGCUCUGUUUUUUAGGCAUUAUCUUAGACAUGAUCGCGUUACUGCAUGCUGCCUUCCCUGCUGAGAAACUAUUAUAACAUAGUGGACAAUAAAGACUACCCACUGUGAUGAAUGUUGGCCA